UUUAGAGAGAGAAAAUGUGUUAUCUAGAGAGAGAAAUAAAGAAAGGAAGAGAAACAAUUCUCUAAAUCCAAUCUAGAUCUAAUUUUUUUUCAUAAAAUCUCCAACCAAUCUAAAGUUAAGCCUUCUAUACAAAGCUUAAGGAGGAAGAAUGUAUCACUCCCAAGGUUAAAGUUCUCAUCUUUAUACUAGAUCUAGCCUAGAUCUAGCUUAUUUUAUAAAUUGUUGUGCUUGUGCCUUUGUUUGUUGCUAGCUAAUUUUUCAUUUGAGGCUCUCAUAGCAUCUUAGAUCAUAUAUAUCUAGACGUGUAUGUAUCCUAUUUUUGGGAUUAUGGAUGAUAAGAGAGGAUUUCUCACGGAUGGAAUUUUCUCCUAAUUAGUCGAUGAUAUCCUUUUGGUAAUUUAUCGAUUUUGACUUUGAUUCGACUCCUUUUCACCAAUUAUUCUCAAUUGGGAGUUUUUGCUAUUGAUUUCUAGGUCACCCAAAUAUCCUAGAUUCAAAUAUAGUGGUGAGGGAUCCCACCUUUUGGCCUCAAGGAAUUCUCAUGAAUAUAAUCUUCUUAUAGCCAACAUGUUUUUUUAUUAGAUCUUGAUUGCUUUAUUUUCUAGAUAUAUAGAAUUUAGAUCUAUGGAUUUUGUUUCCAAGAUUCUAAGUUCUUUUAAUAGAUCUCAUUAAUACGUAACAAUCCCUUGUGAUUUCGAUAACUGGUGAUAUUUGUUUCCCUCAAUAUAUAUAGUUAGCGAUAUAUAAUUGCGAUAUUAUUGUGAUAUUUGUCAAAUGAAAACUAAAACAAAGUAUUCCUUCAAAUCAAAUAUUUUGUGCAUAGGUUCAAAGUUGCUUCCAAGAUAAUACACCUACCACGACUUUGACGAUUUUAGGAGACGACACCCUAGAUUCCACAACUUGAUCUUAGGAGUCGACCCCUAGGUUAUGUACGUACGAUUCGACUCAAAACUAGGAGACGACCCCCUAAAUUUCACGACUUGACCUUCGGAGACAACCCUUAUGGUUACUUAUAUUUCACUAUUUGACUCUAGAUUUUCUGGAAUGACACAAUUCAUAUAGGCACAACACGUGUACACUCUUCACAUUUCUCAAAGCAUUUCAUUUUAUUAUAGAAAAAAUUAGAAAACGAUAAAUUUGUCUUCACUGAAGUCGGGGUGCCUAACACAUUCCUAUCGAAAUGUUUUAUUAGUUAAUGGUUGCAGGCGAGAAGAUUAGACUUUGACUUCAUCCCAAUUAAUUGAAUUAAUUUGAGGACGUUUGAGAAUAUAUUGAGAUGGAAGCUGGAUGGAUGGAUGGAUGGCUGGCUUCAAUAGUAAGUCAACCUUUUCAGUUACUACUACGUUUAAGACUUGAGGAGUCGAACAAAUCUAGAAAUAUCUACUGAAUUUGGUUCUUUGGCUUUUCAAAAGGCUUAAUUAUAUAAGAUGAUCCCUUCUAUUAAUUGUCUCGCAUGCAUCAAUUCUGAAUGCAUGAUGAUAUUUAUUUAAUUCUUCCCAUUUCAGAAUUAAGAAGAUGUGAUAUCAGAGAGGUGGUGGCUAGCUAGACGGAAGGCAUGGCAUUUUUAUUUGUUAAAAGGAAGUAAUUCCAUUGGAAUAAUUUUAUGGGGUGGGGUUGCCUUGAAUAAUGAAUAUAUAUAUAUAUAUAUAUAUAUAUAUAUAUAUAUAUAUAUAUAUAGGGGACCGAUCCAUAGCAUCUAUAUGCUAUGGGAUAAAUAUUGGCAUAUAGGCUCUAAACCACACGUUUUAUUGAUUAACGGCUGCGAUCUAGAGUUCUAUUUCUCCGUCCGCUAGUAUUACUAGCGGAUGUAAUUAGUAUAAUUUCCGGACAAUUAAGCCCCUCGUUACUGAAAUUAACUAUGACAGAAACAUGGUCCGCUAGUAUUACUAGCGGAUAGAAGUCAGAGAGCAAAAUCUGUUUAAACAUUUUUUAACUUGUUCAUGCCUGAUCACCUUUAAUUCAACCAACUGCUCCCCCUUUUCUCUCCUUUUCUCUCUCUGUGUAAAAACAAAAUAUACAGGCUACAACACAGAAAGCUCUCGACAGAUAGCUUUAAUAAGUUAGAUCAGAGAAAGCGAUCCAGACAGUUUUCAUGGGGCUUGUAAUGAAUUUUGGAUGAAUUGAAAAACCCAGAAAGGAAUUGGAGUUUGUUGGCUUUAUUUUGUGAGUUCUUUUGCAUAAAUUUAGCUUAGUUUUUUAGUUCGUUUUGUUCUUUUUUUCCUUGUUUAUCUGUUUUUGCUUUUAUUUUGAUAUGAAUUGGUGUGCUUUUGGGUAAUACCCAUUUAAACUAGUUUGGUGAAGAAAAAGUUUCUAAUAACUAGUUCUCUCCAAUUUGGAUUGUAGUAGUUCUUUUGCCAAAUGUUCUUCAUUUUCAUUAUAUAUUAUCUGCAUGUCUAAUUGGUAAAAACUAAGACUCUGAAUUGCCUUAAUUCCUCCUUUUUUAUAAUUGUAGAUGAGCUGAAGAGGUUUAUGCACAUUCUCAUUUUUGAGAUUUCAAGCAAAUUUGUUCUCGAUUUUUAGGAAUUUUGUGACUGUUUUCACACUUGGAUUCUUCUGUGAACUCGGCCUAGUUUCUAAACUUGUUGAAUUUUCCAAUCCUUUACCUUACCCGUUUUAGGAAAAUUUUUAUUGAGUUCAAUGUAUCAAGACGAUGGAAACUUUCAAAUCUCAUCGUUUAUUGGUAUAUUUAUUUAAAUCUUUACCAACUGACUACUCUUUCUAAUUGGCCUCCAUUAAAAUCAAACUUUCAAAUCUCAUCGACAUUUAUGUCAAUUUUUUCCCAAAAUUCCCUUUAAAAUUAAUAAAUUUCAAUCAAAAUAUAAAAUAAAAUAAAUAAUAAAAAAAGGGGAAAUCCCGAGUUCGACGCACAACCCAAGCAGACUUUGAUAUACUAAAUAAAUGCAGUAUAUAUAAAACAUGAUUAUGGUGAUUAUUGUGCGAUUCCUUAUUUUGAGACUAUAUUAAUUAUCUUGUUUGCUAAUUGCUCCCUAUAUUCAAAAUGACAGUUGAAUUUGACUUUUCUUUCAUUUUGAAGAUUGAUAUCAUUUCCCUACAUGGUGUUAUAUGAAAAUUUAAUAACAGAAAAAGUAGCAACAAAAUUCUAUGUCUAACAGUGUACGUAAAAAAUCUGAAUUUAUUAUGUAAAAAUUAAAUAUCAAAUGAGAUUCAUAUUACCGAGAUAAUAUUGGGUUAUUGUGGUACUAUGAUGUUUCAAAUACACAUUAGUAAUUUGAAACCCCUUCAUUUAUAUUCCUUCUCACUGAUCUUCUUUUCUUUUCACCAUGUCUGUAGUCUCUCUACCUCUCUCCUUCAGUCCGUACUAACAAGAAUGUCUCUAGGGCAUCAUCAAGAGCCAUAUUCAAAAUGUUUCCCAAAAAAAAUAAAAAACUAACAAAAAAAGAAGAAGAGCCAUAAUCAUGUUCAGAUAAAAGAGAAUAUAUUAUAUACACAUGACCUACAUGUCUAUUGCACAUGGAAUGAAAAGAUCUUCUUAGAAAAGAUGAUAUCUAUUAAGGAAAAUAAUGGGAAAGGAGAAGUAUAUAUCGUAAAAUUUGUAAAUACUUAAGAAUAUGCUUUUAUUUCAUAUGAACCCCAUAAAAUAAGUUACUCUCUCCAUCCCAUUAUAUCUGACGUUUUAGAGUAUUUUUUUUCUUUUCAAAAUAUUUGAUGUUCUACAAUCCCAAGAAUAUUCUGGCAUUUUUUUCCCACUCUACCCUUCCUUCUCCACCACUAUUAAUGCCUAUUUUCCUUCCCUCUCUACCCUUCCUUCUCCCUAUUUUCCAUACGACGAAGAGGAGAAAAAUAAUUUUAUCAGAUCUAUCAGAUCUAGCCCGAAGAGGAGCACGAAGAUGGUGAAUCCGUUGAGUACCUGAAGAGGUCAGAUCUAUCAGAUCUAUUCGUUCGACGAUGGCUGUUGAUAUCACCGGACCUGAAGAGGGUCCAGUUCAAGGAAGCCCGUGGCGGCGGCGGCGGUGGAGGUCGCGGUGGGGGUGGGUAUGGUGGCGGAGGGGAUUAUAACGGUGGUGGUGGUGGUGGAAGGAGUGCCGGUCGUGGUGGCGGCAGGGGAGGUGGCUGAAGAGAUGAAGAGAUGAAGAAGAAGACAGAGAGUAGGCUGAAGAGAUGAAGAAGAUAGAGCGUAUUAUUAAUUACGGAUAAAAUAGUAAAAUUACAUAUAUUCUUAAUCUAUGUGAGAAUGUAUAGAAUGUCAGAUAUAAUGGGAUGGAGGGAGUAUUAGUUAAUAUUAUGACAUGCUAAUGAAAUUAAAAUAUAUCAAACUUGAGCAUAUUGUGUCAUUUUAUACUAUUAUUAAAAAAUGACUCCUAUUAAACAAAAAAUAAUUGAUAAAUAAUUAAAACUCUUUUUGUGAAACAAAUGAAAUUACUCAUGAAAAAGUUAGCAUGACAAGUAUGAAACAAUGUCCUAGCUAUAUUAUAUUGGAAGUCAAACCCUUGCCAAAGUGAAAGAUAUAUAUUGUCCAAGUUGUGAAUCCAAUAUUCCAGAUUGUAUAAGAGCAUUUUCAACGUUGAGAUUCUUGGCGCGAAGUCAAGCGUCGAGUAUGAUAAGAAUAUAUUCUUCAUAUAUGCAGCAUGGCCAUGCAUGCAGUUAAGAUCGAUAAAGCAUAUGAAAAUGUUCCAUUUUUGCGCCUAUAAAUAUAGUUGAUCACUGGAUGAAUGAGAUAUUCAGUAGGGAGAGAGAUCUUACAUGGAUAGAAGAACCAUGUUUGGUAGCCAAGAAUGACUUGCCUUGCUCCUUUAAUUCAAGGGGUUGAGUUAUUAUUUGUCAAUAAAUUAUAUUAAACCUCUGUUUGGCUUAUAGGCAGGUAUUCUUGGCUAACUUCACUGGCUCUUCUCUCUCAUGCAAGCCCUUGUAUUCCCACAACGUGCUAGCCGUUAGAUUUGUAGCCGUUAGAUUUGUAGAGUCCAAACCUAUGAAAUUAUCUUAUUUAAAUGAAGAAUAUUUUAAUUUCGUAAAUACGUUUUUCCAAAAUUAAGAAGGAAUUGAAAUUCCGAAGCAACAUUAGAAUUGGGAGACUUCCAUGUGGGACUAACAUAGAAAUGAAUAUAUUUUUUCUAAACCAAAUUAGGAUAUAAUAUAUAUAUAUAUAUAUAUAUAUAUAUAUAUAUAUAUAUAUAUAUAUAUAUAUAUAUAUAUAUAUAUAUAUUAUAUAUUAAUUUGGUUUAGAAAAAAUAUAUUCAUUUCUCCCGAUUCUAAUGUUGCUUCGGAAUUUCAAUUCCUUCUUAAUUUUGGAAAAACGUAUUUACGAAAUUAAAAUAUUCUUCAUUUAAAUAAGAUAAUUUCAUAGGUUUGGACUCUACAAAUCUAACGGCUACAAAUCUAACGGCUAGCACGUUGUGGGAAUACAAGGGCUUGCAUGAGAGAGAAGAGCCAGUGAAGUUAGCCAAGAAUACCUGCCUAUAAGCCAAACAGAGGUUUAAUAUAAUUUAUUGACAAAUAAUAACUCAACCCCUUGAAUUAAAGGAGCAAGGCAAGUCAUUCUUGGCUACCAAACAUGGUUCUUCUAUCCAUGUAAGAUCUCUCUCCCUACUGAAUAUCUCAUUCAUCCAGUGAUCAACUAUAUUUAUAGGCGCAAAAAUGGAACAUUUUCAUAUGCUUUAUCGAUCUUAACUGCAUGCAUGGCCAUGCUGCAUAUAUGAAGAAUAUAUUCUUAUCAUACUCGACGCUUGACUUCGCGCCAAGAAUCUCAACGUUGAAAAUGCUCUUAUACAAUCUGGAANNNNNNNNNNNNNNNNNNNNNNNNNNNNNNNNNNNNNNNNNNNNNNNNNNNNNNNNNNNNNNNNNNNNNNNNNNNNNNNNNNNNNNNNNNNNNNNNNNNNNNNNNNNNNNNNNNNNNNNNNNNNNNNNNNNNNNNNNNNNNNNNNNNNNNNNNNNNNNNNNNNNNNNNNNNNNNNNNNNNNNNNNNNNNNNNNNNNNNNNNNNNNNNNNNNNNNNNNNNNNNNNNNNNNNNNNNNNNNNNNNNNNNNNNNNNNNNNNNNNNNNNNNNNNNNNNNNNNNNNNNNNNNNNNNNNNNNNNNNNNNNNNNNNNNNNNNNNNNNNNUGUAUAUAUAUAUAUAUAUAUAUAUAUAUAUAUAUAUAUAUAUAUAUAUAUAUAUAUAUUACUAGGUGAUAACCUGUGCAAUCAGUGACGAAGCCAGGAUUAGUUAGCAGUGGGGUCAAUAAUUAGAGGCUUUGAUGGUUCACGGUUUGACUUUUGCCUUUUGCGAUUUGGCUUUGCCUCUUCUCUCUCUGUUUUAUGGCUGAAGUGCUGAACAGAUAUUGAUGUAUGGGAUUUAGGGCUGAGGCUUGGCCGCUUGGGUAUCUCUAAUUAAAAUAAAUAAAUUUGAGUGAGGUCAAAAAUUGAGUGGGGGUAAAAAAUUGAGUGGGAUAAAAAACUUUUUAAGUGAUUUCAAAAAUUGAGUGGGGUCAAUUGACCCCACAUUUUAACCAUAGCUUCGCCACUGCGUGCAAUGCACGGUCUAGUUUGAGUAAUAGAUUGUAUAAUUUGUUAAAAAAAUUGUGAUGAAAUUUUCUUUUUUUAUAAUAAGUUAUAUGCAUGUAGAAUACAUAAAAAUCAAUAUUAUAGUCUAAACAAUUUUCAAAUAUAAUAAACUGAAACUAAAAAACAUCAUGACAUUCAAAAUGAGAACAAUAACAACCAUUACUGCAACAUUGAGUUGCUAAACAAUCAAUAAAAAAGAUAAAGAACCCUCACAGAGUUCAACUGGAGGAGAAGAUUCUCAGAACUUCAAAGAAGAGGGGUAACCACUUCAUUCACAAAAUUUGGGUUGCUCUCAUCCCGCAGUUUCUACCAUCCAAAAUCCCUAUUUUCACACCCCAAAUAAAAAAAAUCCAUCAUAAAAAAGUUAAAUAGAAACACAUCUCACAAUUUUUAAAAAAAAGUAACUUCAAGAAAACAUCACAAAUACCCACAUAAAAAUUCUCUCAAAUCAAAAUUAUUUUUAGUGAAGAAACUGACCUCAGGGUACAAAGAUGUCAAGGAAUUGAUAUAUUGUCUCUACAACUGAUUCCAAGUACUAUUACAUUGGAAGCAUAGUUGACACCCUGCAGAAUUACAGGUCCCUGGUGGUUGGAGCCAAAUAUGGGGGAGCAAAAUCUUUAAAACCCGCUUGUUGUCCUGGUGUAACAAAAAAUUAUAAACAAACAUAUAAAGAUUUUUGUUGUUGUUGCUAAACAGACGUAUAACAGAUUUUGUCAAAGUUUGUCACAUAAAUUCAACUACUCAAAGUAGUGUUCUGCCAUUUGCAUAUGGAAGAACAAAAUCUUACCUAAAAUAUUGGAUAUUGUUCUGCCAUUUGUGUAUCGUCCUGUUGGCUUCCCAAAAUCAAUACCAUUAGGAGGGUAAUUAGCCUCGGAUAGAGACACAAUGUAGUUAUUAUUUCCAGCUUCAACCAAAGAAUCUCCAAAAAUAAAAUUAGCAUAAAUUUUUCUUGCUGAACAAAUGCCCAACGAACAAAGACUGUCAAAACUUAAAGCACAACACCAACAAUAACUCUUUUUGAUGAUAGAGUAGCCAUUACAAUCAAUGUGUAAGAGAAAAAACAGUUAUGGGUAUGCUCUACCAAUACAGAAUCUGCAUGAAAAAACUAAGUAAAGAAAAUUUUCCCCUUCCUCACAAUUGAAGGAUGAGGAAGAGGAGGAAUCUCUACAAUUUAACAGAGUGCAACAAAUGUUCCUCUGAAGAUUUAAUAUUGUUCAAUGAAAAUCAAAGUUUUAGAUACCAAGUAAAAAAUAUUUUCAAACAUUGAUCAAAGACCUACUACUUCACAGACAUCUGUUAAAUAUAUUAUUAAAUAUAUCACAUAAAAUUCUUCCAUAAAGGAACUUAUAUUCACACUCCAACAACAUUUCUUUAAUCCAGAGCAAUCACCUUAAGCACAUCAUAAACUCUACAACAACUAUUUAAGAAAAACAAAAUCCCACUAAACAACUUAAAUGCAACUCUUCAAAGUAAAGUAUAUAUAUACAUAAUUAAGUGAGUUUAAAAAUGGAAAAUUAACCUUAGACAGUUGAAGCUCAAAGUAGUGAAGUUGUAAACCAUUUUGAUCAAAUUGGAGUGCCAGGAAUCCAGAUUUGGAGCAGAACCGAGCCACAACAGUCAAAGAUGGAGCCUUAGGGGAUAGCUCAGUAAUGGUAGCUACAAUGAACUCCUGUUGUUUCUGUUUUUGGGCUUGAGGAACCUCUCAAAUAUAAUAAAAUGAAACUACAAAACUUCAUAUCAUUCAAAAUGAGAACAAUAACAACCAUUACUGCAACACAGAAUUGGUAAACAAUCCAUAAAGAAGCUAAAGAACCCUAACAGAGCAAUGUUCAAGUGGAGGAGCAGAUUCUCAGAACUUCAAAGAAGAGGGUCACCACUUCGUUCACAAAAUUUGGGUUGCUCUCAUCCCACAGUAUCUAAAGCUGCAAAAAUUCCAAAACCCCUAUUUUCACACCCAAAUAAAAAAAAUCCAUCAUAAAAAUAAUUAAAUAAAAACACAUCUCACAAUUUUGAAAAAAAACAACUUUAAGAAAACAUCACAAAUACCCACAUAAAAAUUCUCUCAAAUCAAAACUAUUUUUAUUGAAAAAGUGACUUCAUUAUGCAGAGAAAUUAAUGCCAUGGAAUGUAUGCAAAGAAAUUAACAGGUAAUAAUCAUCAAACACCACAAAUUGCAAUGAACAAAGGAAAAAUUGCAAUAAAAUCAUAUUAAGCUCAUCAUUCAGGACUUCUAUCAAGUGUUGGUUUAUAUCUUUUGUGAUUUUAAUAAUGACAAUAUAUUUGGGAAUCUAUUUGAGAAUGUUGGUUUAUAUCUUUUGUGAUUUUAAUAAAUGACAAUAUAUUUGGGAAUCUAUUUUGCAGAGAUUUCAAUUCAAAUUCGAAUCGGAGCUUUUUGAGGAAUUGAUUUUGCUAAGGAGUCUGUUUAUAUUUAAAAAGGAGUCUUAUAAGGAAUUGUUUUGAAAUGCUCAAAC
rnacentral:lncRNA from 1 species